ensembl:lncRNA
AGCCAAUGAAACACUGGGCUGCCUGCAGCGGAGCGAGAGAACUUAACCACUUGGCCACAGGGCCAGCCCCCGGAUCCUGAGUUAUUAAAUGACAUUUCCUACUAAUGGUUUCAUCUAAAAUUAAAAAAUGAAUAGUCCCUGAAGAAGCACGUGAAUUCACAGAGCUUACUCUCAGAAUAUCAGAAUACCCUUGGUGACAACAGAUGGUGGCAGCUGUCUGAGAAAGGCCUGGCAGGAAGCUGAGAGAAGUCCUGCUCCUAGUUCCUCUGGCUUCUGGCAGCGCUUCUGAAUGACCAAUGAGAAAAUUAGGACGUUUCUGCAAAUAUUAUUAAAGGCUGCUGGCUUUCAGACUAGAACUACACCUCAGCUCUCCUGGUUCUCAGGCCUUCACAUUCAGACUGGAACGACACCGUCAGUAUUCCUGGGUCCCCAGCUUGAUGACUACAGAUCUUUGACUUCUCAGCCUCCGGAAUUGUGUGAGCCAACACUUCAUAAUGAAUCUCUUUAUAGAUUUACAUCCUAUUGGUUCUGUUCCUGUGGAGAACCCUGACUGAUAUACACAACCAAAGGAAAUCUAAUUUUGUUAAUUUCAGCCAUGAAGUAUCACAAAGCUUCGCAUAAAAAUAAUUCUUCUAAAAAGUUAAUAUUGUGGAGAUGCAAUUGGAUAAAGGAAAUCACUUGCAAUGAAGGUAAAUUAUAUGUGAACACAUCUUGCAUAUUAUUAGUGUAUUCCGUGGCCAUGUGUUGGACACUGGAUUUUUAUUUUUCUUCAUUUUAAUUUUUAAAAGAAAAUUCUUCCACGAUAAAUUCACCAAAUAACAACUGAAAGCUUUGUGGAGAAGUUAAGGGAGAAACAGGGUAAGAAAAGGAAGAAGCAGAGGUGGUAAGAAGUCAGUAUGAUUCUUGCUUUCAAAACUCAUUUCCCACCUCUCCCCUGUCAGGAGUUAGUACCCUCUCCUGGGCUGGGGCUGCACGAGGCUACCAGAGUGACCGUUUCACUGUAGUGACCAGGCAAUUCAAUCCAAAAACUGGUUUGCCUGAUUUUUUUAAAACUCUGGAAUGGCCAUUUAAACAUUUUUUGGCUUUAUUGAAUUAAAUACUCAUUUGAGUAUAAAAUUGUGUGUGUAUGUAGGGGGAAAGGUUGGCAGAAGCUUAAGAGGAGACUGUUCCGAUGUCUAUAGUGAGCUGCCCCCUGGGGAUGGGGCGAUUCUUAUUCAGAAUCCGGAUCAUGUAUGGGGCGCUGUGGAGGCUUAACCACAAUCGAGAAGCCAUUUUAGAAGACUUUUUAAUCCUCCAGUCCAAAAAUGCAUUGUUUUCUCCCAGUUGCACCCUGUAUUUACUAAGAACCUACUAGGUACUUGCUGUUAUACAAGGUGGUUUUAAUUCUUUGAAGGUCUUAAAAUUUAUUCUCAUAAAUCAAUCAGAUGGUUUCUUUUUUCAGACUCAGUCUAUAUUGCAUUUCUAAUCUCAGUAUCCAGGAAUAAUUGGCUUUAAAAACUCUUUGUGUGCAGUCAGCAUUAUUUCAUCACAUGAGCCAAGCUGUGAUGUUUUUCUAAUUUUCAAAAAAUACAUAAUAGGGGCCAGCCCCAUGGCCAAGUGGUUAAGUUCCCGUGCUCCGGCAGCCCAGGGUUUCGCUGGUUCGGAUCCUGGGCACGGACAUGGCACCCCUCAUCAGGCCACGCUGAGGCGGCGUCCCACAUGCCACAACUAGAAGGACCCACAACUAAAAUAUACAACCAGGUACUGGGGGGAUUUGGGAAGAAAAAAGCAGGAAAAAAAAAAGAUUGGUAACAGUUGUUAGCUCAGGUGCCAAUCUUUCAAAAAAAAAAAUAUUUUCAGUUUUUAUUUCGCAUAAAUACACAAUAUUUAAAGAUUAAAAAUUAGUAGACUUUUCUUAUUUGGUCUAAAUUCAUACCCUUUGUUCUUUGGGGGGAAAAUGUGUUUAAAGUCUGUUGCUCAUAGAGGAUUUUUUUUAAAUGUCUUGUUUCCUAGAGUCCAUUGAUAUUUCAUGAAAUUUGUUCAUUUUAGUCACCAUUUGGUACUAAACUAUAAACAUAUAUAACUUUUAGAAACUGUUAAAUAAAACUUAUAUUCCAUUGUUAUUAGUUAGGAUAAUAGUGUUUCUAAAAAUCCCUACAAUGCUAAAAAAUAACAAACCAAGGUGCUGAAUCCAGAUAAUUUCAUUAAACUGUAUUAAAAAGAAAUAAAAGGGUAAUGUGCUUUCUUUAAUGUUGUAUAAAACAAAAAUUCAUCUGAGGAAGUAAAUGUUCAUAUGAAGUACAUUUAAAAGAGAAAAUGGCAAAUGAUCCAAUUUGAGUCUUUGUUAUUUAAUUUGCUUUGGUGGGAGGUGAUUUGUUUGUUUCAGUCUUUAUGACCACUUGCUCAGCACCCAGAGACUGCUUGACAAAUCAAUGUGAAACACCUGAUCCCCUCUGAGCCGACCUCAGUCGUUUAGACUGUAAACUCCAAAAAGGAGGGAUUAUGUCUCAUUCUUCUUGCAUCUUCCUUACGACUUGGAUGGUGGAUUGCAUAUAAGAGACGCCCAACAUAGGAUUCUGCACCAGUUCAAAGUCUAGCUUCCUUCUGUUCUUUUAGUAGCUUAGACCACCUGGUAAACACAUAUUGAGGUGCUUACCAAUGAUAUGUGGGAAAAAAAACAGAGAAGAGGGAAAAAAGAGAUAGGAAGCGGGCAGAUCACUAAUGUGUUGUGAGCGUACUCCUUGCUCUCAGCUCUGUCUGGGUUCUCUCCCUGGGCUGGGUCAGCUGCUCGGCCACCCAGCAGAAUGUAAGACCCCCCCCAGAAAGGUUAUCAUUCUUUUACUGGAAAGAUGCACACACACCCACGGAGCCUGGGUAGCUAUGAAGCAGUGAUAUGGGACAAUAUGUGCCUCUAAUAGUGGAAUCAGUGGCCUUGUGUAGACAAUAAAGCCAGCAGUAACAAGCCUCCCCUGACACAGCCAUAGACUCUGAAGGAGCUGGAGAAGAAUUCUUCCCCUCUGCGUAUCUAAUCCGUGAAGGGGAGAACCCAUGAGCAGGAGCAUGGUUUCUCCUUCCGUCCUCGGGUUGUUUCCUUGGUGUCUUAUGCUAAGAGAAGAAUUCAGCAGAUAAAAAUUUAUUAUUUACACUUACUUAUACAACAUUUUCCCUCUAGUUAGAAGAAAACUGCUGCUCACAUCCAGAAAUAUCUAAUUCCAUGCAUACUUUAUACAGUUUAUAGAAUUUGCUUCCCACCAAAGCAAACUCCUGAAUACAUGAAAUAUGAAAUCUUGCAAAUGUAAUGGGUUCCUAAUAAUUUUAAAAUAGCGUAUAUUAUUUUAAUGCUUUAUACAGUGGGAAGGUUAUUGAGGAAUAAAUUGGCAUAAUUUCUAUUUUCUUUUGGAAAAAACUCAUAAAAAUGAAGUAUUCUACAUUUACUUUAUAUUAUUAUUUUGGCAGUUUUGUUUUUAUGAUAAAGUUC